UUACGGGAGGCAGCAGUGGGGAAUCUUGGACAAUGGGCGCAAGCCUGAUCCAGCCAUGCCGCGUGAGUGAUGAAGGCCUUCGGGUUGUAAAACUCUUUUGGCGGGGACGAUAAUGACGGUACCCGCAGAAUAAGCUCCGGCUAACUUCGUGCCAGCAGCCGCGGUAAUACGAAGGGGGCUAGCGUUGUUCGGAAUUACUGGGCGUAAAGCGUGCGCAGGCGGCUUCUCAAGUCAGGGGUGAAAGCCCAGAGCUCAACUCUGGAAUUGCCUUUGAGACUGAGUGGCUUGAGUACGAGAGAGGUGAGUGGAAUUCCCAGUGUAGAGGUGAAAUUCGUAGAUAUUGGGAAGAACACCGGUGGCGAAGGCGGCUCACUGGCUCGUAACUGACGCUCAUGCACGACAGCGUGGGGAUCAAACAGGAUUAGAAACCCUUGUAGUCCG
rnacentral:rRNA from 1 species